AGUCACGCUGCCUUGUGAAUAUGUGAUCAUUCAGGACAAAUGUAGUAGCACUACUUGGCUUUGGAGUCAUAAAGGGGAAGCAGCAGUAGAGCUGGUUGGUCAUGGACAGAUUAAAGAUGGAUUCCCAGAGCUAAAUCAGACAGACUGAGUGUUACAGAGAAAUGUUCUCUGGUUAUGAAGAAUGUCACAGAGGAGGAUGUUGGUCGUUACACCUGCAGACAGUUCAACAAAUCAGGAGGACCACAACAAGGUCCAGAUGCUGUGGUUCAUCUGUCUGUUGUCAACAUGGAAGAACAGAAGAACACUGAUGAUACAGUCACCUUGAUCUGCUCUGUGUUGACAUAUGCUGGGUGUGAUCACACAGUGAAGUGGCUCUAUGAGGGGAAUGAGAAUGUCGUGGAGAUACCAUCUCAUACCUGUUCAGCCAGUGUGUCAUUUCCUCCUCAUCUUAAUCAGAAGUUACUGAAGUGUAACGUGACAGAUAAGAAGAAUGGAAACACGCUGCUGUGUAAUGUCGGCCCCCAGUCCUCUUGUAAGAAAACAGGAAACACAACAGUGGGAACAGAUAACACACCAACACCAGAUCGGUUGGUGUACAUGGGUGUUGCUGUGGGAGUAACAGCACUCUUAGCAGCAAUCAUCAUUGUGGUAGUCAUCAGACGGAAGAAAACUAAAAGUAACAAAACACAGACGAAUGAAAAUAUUGGACUGAGUUUGAACCCUGCAGAGAAUCAGUCUGCUCCAGAAACCAGUCAGGACAUGGCUGAUCCUGAAGGUGGUGUUUUCUACGCCUCUGUCAGCCACACCAAGAAGAGCAGCAGUAGAGCUCAGGCUCGGGGUAAAGAUGAUGAUGAUGAUGAUGAUGAUGAUGCAGUGACCUACAGCACUGUGAAAGCUCCUCCUCCUCCUUCUGCUGCUGCUGCAUCCUCUGCUGAUGUCAGCGACCUCUACGCCACCAUCAACAAACCAAACCAAUAAGACAGCACGGUGUACUUACAGCUCAUAGCAUUACAGAAUGCUGUGUGGACUAGCCAGACCCUCCUCUGCUCUGCAGUGUGUGGAGGAUGGUCUGGUAAAGUGAGACUACUGGCUCAGUAACACUGAGUUACUGGGUGCCCUUUUCUAAAUCAUCCCGCGGAAAAGACUUUCUGUUCGAGGUUUAAUUUAUAGAUCUCCUUACCCUCAGGACCUAAAUGGAUCAUGACUGGGACAGUUAUUUAAAGAGGGAUCAGUCAUGUCAUGAAGGAUCUUGUGCAUAUUAUUGCGCUUUUAUUGUGUCAUCGUUUAUUACUGUUUUCUGCUGCUGUAUGAAUUUGCUUAUCAGGUUUUUUGAGAGAUUACAUAAAUAAAUAAAAAAAAUGUCAGUAUUUUGAGUUUUUAAUUCUUGAUUAAUCUGUUUUAGUCUCUUAUUACCAAUCCCCCUCUACUGUUUCUUCACCGUGAUAACUUUCUCCUACAAGAACAAACACAUCACAGACAACGUCUCCAAAAUGAUUGGCCUCCCCACCCCUAACCUCUCAGACCUCAACAGAAUGUCAUGAUUGUGGGUUCUGUUAUGUUCUGUUUCCUGUUUUAUUUUGACAUCUGUCUUGUCUCCCUUGUCUUGUCUAGUUUACUUCCUGUCCUUGGUUUUCCCUCCCGUGUGAUUGCCCUAAUGUGUUUCACCUGUUUGCCCAGCCUUGUGUCACCUGUCCCUUAUUGGUCCUCGUUACCUGGUUUAUUUAGUCUCUGUGUUGUCUUUGUCUGGUGUCGGAUCAUUUCGUUCUGUUUGCCCUGUUUCCUGCUGGAUGUUCUUCUCUGUUCUGUUGUGGAUUCUGUUUUGCAUUGGUUCCUGCCUGGCUACCUUCCGGAGGACACUUUGUUCAGAAACGUUGACAGUCGUGAGCGAGAGAACAAGAGAGAGAGACGGAGAGGCACGAUGGCUGAAU